rnacentral:rRNA from 1 species
UACGGGGGGGGCAAGCGUUGUCCGGACUUACUGGGCGUAAAGCGUGGGUAGGUGGUCGGUGAUGUGCCGUGUGAAAGCCCCGCGUUCAUCGGGGGGAGGUCGCGGUAGACACAUCGACUUGAGACAUACAGAGGGCCGUGGAAUUCCCGGUGUAGUGGUGAAAUGCGUAGAUAUCGGGAGGAACACCAGUGGCGAAGGCGACUACCUGGCCUGUUCUUGACGCUGAGGCGCGAAAGCUAGGGGAGCAAACAGGG